GACGAACGCUGGCGGCGUGCUUAACACAUGCAAGUCGAACGGAAAGGCCCUGCUUUUGUGGGGUGCUCGAGUGGCGAACGGGUGAGUAACACGUGAGUAACCUGCCCUUGACUUUGGGAUAACUUCGGGAAACUGGGGCUAAUACCGGAUAGGAGCUCUUGCUGCAUGGUGGGGGUUGGAAAGUUUCGGCGGUUGGGGAUGGACUCGCGGCUUAUCAGCUUGUUGGUGGGGUAGUGGCUUACCAAGGCUUUGACGGGUAGCCGGCCUGAGAGGGUGACCGGCCACAUUGGGACUGAGAUACGGCCCAGACUCCUACGGGAGGCAGCAGUGGGGAAUAUUGCACAAUGGGCGGAAGCCUGAUGCAGCAACGCCGCGUGCGGGAUGACGGCCUUCGGGUUGUAAACCGCUUUCGCCUGUGACGAAGCGUGAGUGACGGUAAUGGGUAAAGAAGCACCGGCUAACUACGUG
rnacentral:rRNA from 1 species